UGGGACAGCGGCCGCCGGGGCUGGAGCGCGCAGGACCCCGCGCGGCCCCGACCUGAAGUCCAGCGGACGCCAGGAGGAAGUCGUGGGAACGAAGCGGCGAGAAGGGCCCCUGGCGGGAGGGCCGGGCUCGGGUCGUGGCGUCCGCUCUCGGAACCCACACUCAGGAAACUCAGCUGGAGUGGCGGGCCCGAGGGUUAGACUCGCAUGAACGAACGAGAGCGGGCUGGCCACAGGCAGGCGGUGCGCUCCUGGGAGGACCCCGGCUAGAGGGAGGACUCGCGGAAGGUUGAGGCCCAGGAAGUCGGGGCGCGCACCAGGACGCUGGCGCGCCGAUCCCGGGAGGCCUGGCGUGCUGCAGUCCAUGGGGCUGCAAAGAGUUGGACAUGACUGAGCGACUGAACUGAAAUGAAUUUGCUUCAAAUGCUGAACAACCAGAGAAUGGUCGAUGUUGUCACCUUCUGAUGGCCAGCCACUGUGCUCAUCUUCAAGACUCUUGUCUCCUUUGCAAAACUUCUUGAACCACCACUGCGCUGUACAUCCAUUAGCAGUUCCUGAGCCAAAUGCAUUGUUGAUGUUGUGAGUUGUCUCUGCUGCUUUACAAAACAUUUUGAACUCAAAUAAGAAAACUGCUCAAAUUUG